rnacentral:rRNA from 1 species
CGGCAGGCCUAACACAUGCAAGUCGAGCGGAAACGAGUUAUCUGAACCUUCGGGGAACGAUAACGGCGUCGAGCGGCGGACGGGUGAGUAAUGCCUAGGAAAUUGCCCUGAUGUGGGGGAUAACCAUUGGAAACGAUGGCUAAUACCGCAUGAUGCCUACGGGCCAAAGAGGGGGACCUUCGGGCCUCUCGCGUCAGGAUAUGCCUAGGUGGGAUUAGCUAGUUGGUGAGGUAAGGGCUCACCAAGGCGACGAUCCCUAGCUGGUCUGAGAGGAUGAUCAGCCACACUGGAACUGAGACACGGUCCAGACUCCUACGGGAGGCAGCAGUGGGGAAUAUUGCACAAUGGGCGCAAGCCUGAUGCAGCCAUGCCGCGUGUGUGAAGAAGGCCUUCGGGUUGUAAAGCACUUUCAGUCGUGAGGAAGGUGGUGUAGUUAAUAGCUGCAUUAUUUGACGUUAGCGACAGAAGAAGCACCGGCUAACUCCGUGCCAGCAGCCGCGGUAAUACGGAGGGUGCGAGCGUUAAUCGGAAUUACUGGGCGUAAAGCGCAUGCAGGUGGUUUGUUAAGUCAGAUGUGAAAGCCCGGGGCUCAACCUCGGAAUAGCAUUUGAAACUGGCAGACUAGAGUACUGUAGAGGGGGGUAGAAUUUCAGGUGUAGCGGUGAAAUGCGUAGAGAUCUGAAGGAAUACCGGUGGCGAAGGCGGCCCCCUGGACAGAUACUGACACUCAGAUGCGAAAGCGUGGGGAGCAAACAGGAUUAGAUACCCUGGUAGUCCACGCCGUAAACGAUGUCUACUUGGAGGUUGUGGCCUUGAGCCGUGGCUUUCGGAGCUAACGCGUUAAGUAGACCGCCUGGGGAGUACGGUCGCAAGAUUAAAACUCAAAUGAAUUGACGGGGGCCCGCACAAGCGGUGGAGCAUGUGGUUUAAUUCGAUGCAACGCGAAGAACCUUACCUACUCUUGACAUCCAGAGAACUUUCCAGAGAUGGAUUGGUGCCUUCGGGAACUCUGAGACAGGUGCUGCAUGGCUGUCGUCAGCUCGUGUUGUGAAAUGUUGGGUUAAGUCCCGCAACGAGCGCAACCCUUAUCCUUGUUUGCCAGCGAGUAAUGUCGGGAACUCCAGGGAGACUGCCGGUGAUAAACCGGAGGAAGGUGGGGACGACGUCAAGUCAUCAUGGCCCUUACGAGUAGGGCUACACACGUGCUACAAUGGCGCAUACAGAGGGCGGCCAACUUGCGAAAGUGAGCGAAUCCCAGAAAGUGCGUCGUAGUCCGGAUUGGAGUCUGNCACUCGACUCCAUGAAGUCGGAAUCGCUAGUAAUCGUGGAUCAGAAUGCCACGGUGAAUACGU